CCUACGGGAGGCUGCAGUAGGGAAUUUUUCACAAUGGGCGAAAGCCUGAUGGAGCAACGCCGCGUGCAGGAUGAAGGCCUUCGGGUUGUAAACUGCUUUUAUAAGCGAGAAAUAUGAUGGUAACUUAUGAAUACUGAUCGGCUCACUACGUGCCAGCAGCCGCGGUCAUACGUAGGAUCCGAGCAUUAUCCGGAGUGACUGGGUGUAAAGAGUUGCGUAGGUGGCAUAAUAAGUAGCUAGUGAAAUCGGGUGGCUCAACCAUUCAGACUAUUAGCUAAACUGUUAAGCUCGAGACCGUUAGGGGUAACUGGAAUUUCUAGUGUAGGAGUGAAAUCCGUAGAUAUUAGAAAGAACACCGAUAGCGUAGGCAGGUUACUGGGACGGUUCUGACACUAAGGCACGAAAGCGUAGGGAGCAAACGGGAUUAGAUACCCCUGUAGUC
rnacentral:rRNA from 1 species